AGCAUCGUGCCCCUAGACUCUGUCCCAGAGCGCUUGUGCUCCUAUCCGGUCUGUGAAGCCUCUUGCAAGCGAAGGGCAAGCGACUUACCAUGACUAUCCAAAGAAUCUGAAGAACAUCAAAGAAAGAGGCGUCUUCUCCAGGAAUACUUUCCAGUACAGCAGCUAUGAUAUUGGGUGUCCAGCUGUAAAAAAUGUCACCUUUGUUUACUGCACCACUCAGCAGUAUUCUGUAUGGCGGUGGAAUAUAA